GAUGAACGCUGGCGGCAUGCCUAAUACAUGCAAGUCGAACGAGAGGAAGGGAAGCUUGCUUUUCUGAAUCUAGUGGCGAACGGGUGAGUAACACGUAGGUAACCUGCCCAUGUGCCCGGGAUAACUUCUGGAAACGGAUGCUAAAACCGGAUAGGUAGCAGACAAGCAUUUGACUGCUAUUAAAGUGGCUAAGGCCAUGAACAUGGAUGGACCUGCGGUGCAUUAGCUAGUUGGUGAGGUAACGGCCCACCAAGGCGACGAUGCAUAGCCGGCCUGAGAGGGCGGACGGCCACAUUGGGACUGAGACACGGCCCAAACUCCUACGGGAGGCAGCAGUAGGGAAUUUUCGUCAAUGGGGGGAACCCUGAACGAGCAAUGCCGCGUGAGUGAGGAAGGUCUUCGGAUCGUAAAGCUCUGUUGUAAGAGAAAAACGACAUUCAUAGGGAAUGAUGAGUGAGUGAUGGUAUCUUACCAGAAAGUCACGGCUAACUACGUGCCAGCCGCCGCAGUAA
rnacentral:rRNA from 1 species